GGGAGUGGGACGGGGUUGUUUCUGCUCUAGGUGUGAAUAGAAAGAAACAAGGACCCCUACUUACGCCUCCCACUCUGUAACCCCAGUUCUGCCCACAAAUCUUGAAAUUUUCUCU